rnacentral:rRNA from 1 species
AACGAACGCUGGCGGCAUGCCUAACACAUGCAAGUCGAACGAGACCUUCGGGUCUAGUGGCGCACGGGUGCGUAACGCGUGGGAAUCUGCCCUUGGGUUCGGAAUAACAGUUGGAAACGACUGCUAAUACCGGAUGAUGUCUUCGGACCAAAGAUUUAUCGCCCAGGGAUGAGCCCGCGUAGGAUUAGCUUGUUGGUGAGGUAAAGGCUCACCAAGGCGACGAUCCUUAGCUGGCUGAGAGGAUGAUCAGCCACACUGGGACUGAGACACGGCCCAGACUCCUACGGGAGGCAGCAGUGGGGAAUAUUGGACAAUGGGCGAAAGCCUGAUCCAGCAAUGCCGCGUGAGUGAUGAAGGCCUUAGGGUUGUAAAGCUCUUUUACCCGGGAUGAUAAUGACAGUACCGGGAGAAUAAGCUCCGGCUAACUCCGUGCCAGCCGCCGCGGUAAC